rnacentral:rRNA from 1 species
ACCUACGGGAGGCAGCAGUGAGGAAUAUUGGUCAAUGGGCGGGAGCCUGAACCAGCCAAGCCGCGUGAGGGAAGAAGGUACAGCGUAUCGUAAACCUCUUUUGUCAGGGAACAAAGGCGGGGACUAGUCCCCGGAUGAGGGUACCUGAAGAAAAAGCAUCGGCUAACUCCGUGCCAGCAGCCGCGGUAAUACGGAGGAUGCGAGCGUUAUCCGGAUUUAUUGGGUUUAAAGGGUGCGCAGGCGGCCUGUUAAGUCAGCGGUAAAAGCCCGGGGCUCAACCCCGGCGGGCCGUUGAAACGGGCGGG